rnacentral:autocatalytically_spliced_intron from 1 species
ACGGUGAACUCCUUAUGGUAAAAUUGCUAUAUGGACAAUACCGUGGGAAGUCAUCUGUUCAAAUUUUAGCAGAUUGACCCCGUAACGACU